GGCCGUGUGGCGAAAUGGCAUCGCGUCUGACUACGAUCAGUACGUGCACUUCUGAUCACGUGAUCUCGCAAUCAGGAGAUUGUAGGUUCGACCCCUACCUCGGUCA